rnacentral:rRNA from 1 species
UAGGGAAUCUUCGGCAAUGGGGGCAACCCUGACCGAGCAACGCCGCGUGAGUGAAGAAGGUUUUCGGAUCGUAAAGCUCUGUUGUAAGAGAAGAACGUGUGUGAGAGUGGAAAGUUCACACAGUGACGGUAACUUACCAGAAAGGGACGGCUAACUACGUUCCAG